rnacentral:ribozyme from 2 species
GCUCUAAUGCAGCUACUAUACAGUAACGGUCGCAAGCCCGUAAAAUGCAGAGCGGAGA